CUAUCUCCUAUUUAUGAUACCUAUAAAUUUUGAAAAGAAAAACAUGAAUAUAAUACAGGGUGUUUUCUUAUCUUCUUACUCCUUCUCAGUUUGGCUGGAUAAAAGGUCAGUUAUCAAACAUGGAGCUUGAGGCUUUCGAUGAGUGGGAUAAGGUUUUGUUGUAUAUGGGGCUUGAAGCUUAUUGGAAUGAUCGAUCCAACUACUUGUUGGGAAUUAAAAACCUAAAAAUGGGUGAGUUUGUUUCUAGCUAAAAGGAAUGGUUAAUUAUAGUAUUUUAACUUGACAAUGGAAAUCUAUAAAUUUCUAGCAACUAACCUAGUUACAGUUAAUGUUUUACCUCAAUCAAGCAAUAUUUGGC
rnacentral:lncRNA from 1 species